GCAUAUCAAUAAGCGGAGGAAAAGAAACCAACAGGGAUUGCCUUAGUAGCGGCGAGUGAAGCGGCAAAAGCUCAAAUUUGAAAUCUGGCACUUUCAGUGUCCGAGUUGUAAUUUGAAGAAGGUAUCUUUGGGUCUGGCUCUUGUCUAUGUUUCUUGGAACAGAACGUCACAGAGGGUGAGAAUCCCGUGCGAUGAGAUGUCCCAGACCUAUGUAAAGUUCCUUCGAAGAGUCGAGUUGUUUGGGAAUGCAGCUCUAAGUGGGUGGUAAAUUCCAUCUAAAGCUAAAUAUUGGCGAGAGACCGAUAGCGAACAAGUACAGUGAUGGAAAGAUGAAAAGAACUUUGAAAAGAGAGUGAAAAAGUACGUGAAAUUGUUGAAAGGGAAGGGCUUGAGAUCAGACUUGGUAUUUUGUAUGUUACUCUCUCGGGGGUGGCCUCUACAGUUUACCGGGCCAUCAUCAGUUUGAGCGGUAGGAUAAGUGCAAAGAAAUGUGGCACUGCUUCGGUAGUGUGUUAUAGUCUUUGUCGAUACUGCCAGCUUAGACUGAGGACUGC
rnacentral:rRNA from 1 species